CCCCUAGAUGUUCUGGGCCGCACGCGCGCUACACUGAACAGUUCAACAAGUCUUAACCUUGGCCGAUAGGUCUGGGUAAUCUUUGAACGCUGUUCGUGAUUGGGAUAGACCUUUGCAAUUAUGGGUCUUCAACGAGGAAUUCCUAGUAAACGCAAGCCAUCAGCUUGCAUUGAUUGCGUCCCUGCCCUUUGUACACACCGCCCGUCGCACCUACCGAUUGAAUGGUCCGGUGAAAUCUCGGGACGGCGGCUUGGUCGCUUGCGUCCGACUGCUGAAACUUGAUUAAACCAUAUCAUUUAGAGGAAGGUGAAGUCGUANCA
rnacentral:rRNA from 1 species